rnacentral:sRNA from 1 species
GUCACCGCUGGCUACCGUGGCGUCCGCAUCACCAACUUCACCACAUCCUGGCGCAACGGCUUGGCCUUCUGUGCCAUCCUGCACCGAUUCUACCCAGACAAGAUUGACUAUGCCUCGCUAGACCCACUCAACAUCAAGCAGAACAACAAGCAGCUCCUACUGGAGGAGCUGGUGUCGCUGGUGAACCAGCGCGACGAGCUAGUCCGGGACUUGGACCACAAGGAGCGGAUCGCCCUGGAGGAGGACGAGCGCCUGGAGCGCGGCCUGGAACAGCGGCGCCGCAAGCUGAGCCGGCAGUUGAGCCGGCGGGAACGCUGCGUGCUGAGCUGAGGCCGCCGGCCCGGGUGGCCCAUAACUUCUCGCGCCCCCGGCUUCCGCAGCCGUCCCGGGUCUGCGCUGCGGAGGACCCGGCCGUCCCGGAGGCCGUGCGCGUGUCCGCUAGGGGCCGCCGGCGCCCUUCCCGGUACGGGGCAGGGCGGAUCCCCGACCU